rnacentral:rRNA from 1 species
UACAGAGGGUGCAAGCGUUGUUCGGAAUUAUUGGGCGUAAAGCGCGUGUAGGCGGCUUUGCAAGUCGGGUGUGAAAGCCCUCAGCUCAACUGAGGAAGUGCGCCCGAAACUGCAGAGCUUGAGUACCGGAGAGGAUGGCGGAAUUCCCCAAGUAGAGGUGAAAUUCGUAGAUAUGGGGAGGAACACCCGUGGCGAAGGCGGUUCUCUGGGACGGUACUGACGCUGAGACGCGAAAGCGUGGGGAGCGAACAGG